UGGGGAGAAUAUCAAUAAUAAUAAUAAUUAUUAGCCAAGUUGGACACAGGCUCUGUCCCGCGUGGGGCUCACAGUCUCAAUCCCCAUUUUACAGAUAAGGUAGCUGAGGCAGAGGGAAGUGAAGUAAUAAUAAUAAUAAUAAUAAUGUUGGUAUUUGUUAAGCGCUUACUAUGUGCCAAGCACUGUUCUAAGCGCUGGGGUAGACAUAGGGGAAUCAGGUUGUCCCACGUGGGGCUCACAGUCUUAAUCCCCAUUUUACAGAUGAGGGAACUGAGGCACGGAGAAGUUAAGUGACUUGCCCACAGUCACACAGCCGACAAGUGGCCGAGCUGGGAUUCGAACUCAUGAGCCCUGACUCCAAAGCCCGUGCUCUUUCCACUGAGCCACGCUGCUUCUCCAAGGUUACACGGCAGACAAGUGGAGGAGCCGGGAUUAGAGACGAGGUGAUAGGGCUCAACAGCGUCCAGCCAGGCUGAUAGAAGGGGACCUGAUCGACCUCGACAGAGCAUUUCAUUUCCAAUUCGGCCUUCAGCUGUGAGAAAUGCAGAGCACAAACUGUUCCUUGAGAUGGGGGCCGAUGUUCCAUCGAGGUCAGCGGUAAACGGCCGCUCGGAAGGACGCUGGGGGACGAUGAGAUCAGCUGCAGCCAGGACGGAGGAGUUGGUGACUCCGGAGAGACAAUUUCGGAACGCGGCCACUCGUUCGUGAUCUGCGAUGACAGCGACCGUGUUUCUGGCUGCGUCACUUCCAGAAGACAGUUUUGUUCUUUAAUGGAAAAAAGUCGGGAGAUCUGGAGUCUGGUCUCAGCUUUGCGAUCUUGGGUAGAACCCUUGGCUUCAUCAGUGAACAGAGAUUUAAGGACAGUCCAACCCAGCUGAUGCCGACGGUCACCCCUUAAACCUCGUCGGUGGAAUCAUUCCGCACGGCCAACAGAGGGACUCUGUCUUCUCUCCGUCAAGCUAACUUGGAAAUUGAACGAUCCGUUAUAAGGAUUACACUCGCUGACGAUGCGCUCCAGAAGAAGUAGAGAAAUUCAUCUGUGGGUUUGAGCUGAUCUCGUAGACUGGAGUAAAAAAAAAAAAUGAUGAAAUAAUAACGCCGAUGUUUGUUAAGCGCUUACUAUGUGCCAGGCACUGUACUAAGACGCGGGGUGGAUACGUGCAAAUUGAGUUGGACACAGUCCCUGCCCCGCCUGGGGCUCAAGCCCCAUUUUACAGAUGAGGUCACUGAGGCACAGAAGAGCGAAGUGACUUGCCCAAGGUCACACAGCAGUCAAGUGGUGGAGCUAGGAUGAGAUUACACCCCCCGCUGCCCCACAGCAUGUGUUUAUAUUUAUAUAUAUAUAUAUAUAUAUUAUUCUAUUUAUUUUAUUAAUGAUGUAUAUAUAUAUAUAUCUAUAAUUCUAUUUAUUUACGUUGAUGCUUGUUCACUUGCUUUGUUUUGUUUUGUCUGUCUACCCCCUUCUAGUCUGUGAGCCCGUUGUUGGGCAGGGAUUGUCUCUACCUGUUGCCAAAUUGUACUUUUCAAGGGCUGACUACAGUGCUCUGCACACAGCAAGCGCUCAAUAAAUAUGAUUAAAUGAAUGAAGCAAUGAAGAACUCAUGACCUUCUGAUUUCCAGGGCCAUGGUCUAUCCGCCACACCACGCUGCUUCUCUAUGAAAAUUAGUAGAAAGGGCACGAGCCUGGGAAUCUAAAGAUCUGGACUGACUGGCCUUUGCCAGCUGGGUGACCUCUGGCAAGUCACUUCACUUCUCUGUGCCUCAGUUUCCUCAUCUGUCAAAUGGGGAUUCAAUACCUGUUCUCCAGCCUCUCCUCUUUAGACUGUGAGUCCUGUGUGGGACAGGGACUGUGCCCAACCUGAUUAACUUGGAUCUCCCCCAGUGCUGCGAACAGUGCCUGGCACAUGGCAGGUGCUUAAGAAAUACCACAGUUACUCUUAUUAUUCAUUCAUUCAUUCAUUCACUCAAUAGUAUUUAUUGAGCGCUUACUAUGUGCAGAGCACUGUACUAAGCGCUUGGAAUGAACAAGUCGGCAACAGAUAGAGACGGUCCCUGCCGUCUGACGGGCUUACGGUCUGAUCGGGGGAGACGGACAUACAAGAACAUUAUUAUUGUUAUUAUUCAAAAAGAAAGGGAUGGAUAGCAGGGCAGCCAAGGCCUUGGACAAACACUAAUGCGAAGCUCCUGAAGGAAGAUCCGUCACCAAGCGUAAGCAUUCACCCUGAAGCUGGUCCCUGAGAG
rnacentral:lncRNA from 1 species